ensembl:lncRNA
GGAAAACCCUCUAAAGAAAGACAAGCAGCUGAUGGUUUCAUUGUGUACAUGAUUUCACCAAAACAAUCUCCUGUAAAACGUAAAACAUGGAAUAUCAGCUAAGACUGUCUGAAUGAAACUGUUAAAAGAAAGGUUAUUAUUAACAAGAGACAAUUGCAGCAGUUACGAUCUGGUAUUCUGUGUUCCACAUCGAUCUGUCUGGCAAGGUUUGGGUCUGAAACCUCUGUCACCUGAUUGGUUCUACAGGUGCUGCUAACGGUGAUAUCACUGGAGGGGGGACUCUACCUGGAGCUAAACCUCUGAAGGCUCCAAGAGGAGAUACACCUGGUGAAGGAGAGGGAGAUGCAGGAGGAGGAGCAAGAGGUGUUGGUGGAGGUCCUGAUGGACCAGGAGGAGCAGACAGUGGAUCUGGCGGUGUAGGAAGAGAUGGUGAUGGUAAAGGAGGAGGAGGACCGGGAGGAGCAGGGGGGAAAGACGGUGGUGCAGUUAGAGUGGGAGGAAGUCCUAACGGUACAGGGGGAGCUGGAGGUUCAGGAGUUGGAGGAGCAGGAGUAGAACCUGGAGGAGGUGCAGGACCAGGCAGUAGUGACAAACCACCCAAAGGUUAUGGAGCAGGUGGGGCUGGCAGUCUGGGUGCAGGAGGUGCUGGAGGAGCAGCUCUGGUCCCUGGGACUGGUGGUGCCGGUGAUAUAGGAGCUGGAACCCCCAAACCAGGAAAAAGCUACGGAGUUGGUGGAGUCCUGCCAGGUGGAGGUCUACGUUACCCAACUGGGGCUAGAGAAGGACUGGGCUCAGGGAAGCCGGGCAAAGGAUAUGGUGCUGGCCAAUUUGGAGCAGGAGGACGACGUCCUGGAGGAUAUGGUGCCGGACCAGGCGGAUACGGAGCCAGUCCUGGAGGAUAUGGCACUGGACCCGGUGGUUAUGGGGCCAGACCCGGUGGUUAUGGUGCUGGUCCAGGUGGUUAUGGGGCUGGAGCUGGUCCUGGUGGCUAUGGUGCUGGGCCAGGUGGAUAUGGUGCUGGACAAGGUGGCUAUGGUGCUGGGCCAAGUGGCUACGGGACAGGGGCUGGGCCUGGAGGAUAUGGAUCCAAGCCAUACAAGACUGGAGGUGCUGGAGCCGGUGGUGUUGGUGGAGGUCUGGGUGGAGCUGGCAGCCUGGGUGCCAUAGGAGCCGGACCAGGAGGAGUGGGUGGAGGUCAAGGAGGCGGUCUAGGUGGAGGUCAAGGUGGAGCUGGACCAGGUGGAUAUAUACCAGGUGGAGUUGGUAGCAGAUACCCCACAGGCUAUGGGAGAGCUGUUGGAGCUGGAGAUGGGCUUGGUGGUUAUGGUGGCGGAACAGUUGGUUAUGGACCAGGAGGAACUGGGGUCGGACUAGGUGGGGCUGGGGCCGGGCAAGGUGGAUAUGGUGCCGGACAUAAAGGUUAUGGACCAGGUGGAGCAGGGCCGGGAGGAGCUGGGGUCAGACCAGGUGGAGCAGAGGCCGGACCUGGUGGCUAUGGCGCAGGGCCUGGAGGUUAUGGGCCUGGGGCUGGUCUUGGUCCUGGAGGUUAUGGGGCUGAACCUGGUGGCUAUGGACCAGGUAGAGCAGGGCCGGGAGGAGCUGGGGUCAGACCAGGUGGAGCCAGACCAGGUGGAGCAGAGGCAGGACCUGGUGGCUAUGGUGCUGGGCCUGGAGGUUAUGGGCCUGGGGCUGGUCUUGGUCCUGGCGGAGCUGGUCCUGGAGGUUAUGGGGCUGGACCUGGUGGCUAUGGACCUGGUGGCUAUGGACCAGGUGGCGCUGGAUCUCAUAAAUAUGGUAUGCUAAGUGGUUCCCUUGGAGGGGGACAAGCAGCUGGCCAGGGAAGAGUGCCAGGAGGGGGAGCAAGGACUGGGCUAGGUCAGGGAGGAGUGCCUGGAGGAGGAGCAGGUACUGGGCUAGGCCAUGGAGGAGUGCCUGGAUCUGGGCUUGGUGGCGGUAGUGGUCCGGGUGCUGGGUAUGGACCUGCCAUUGGAACCCAUGGAGGUUAUGGACCAGGAGGUGGUGCUGGGACCGGACUUGGUCAGGGAAGAGCCGGGGUCGGACCAGGUGGCUAUGGACCACUUGGAGCUGGGGCUGGACAGGGAACUGGAGCUGGAGGAUAUGACGCAAAUGCUAAAGCUCGUAAAUAUGGUAUGCUAAGUGGUACCAUUGGAGGAGGACAAGCAGCUGGCCAGGGAAGUGUGCCAGGAGGGGGAGCAGGGACUGGAGUAGGCCAGGGUGGAGUGCCUGGAUCUGGGCUUGGUGGUGGUGGAGGUGUCCCCGGUGGUUAUGGUCCUGGAGCAGGAUUUGGACCUGGUGGUGGAACUGUUGGUGGUUAUGGACCAGGAGGGGGUGCUGGGACCGGACUUGGCCAGGGAGGAGUUGGGGCCAUACCAGAUGGCUAUGGGACUGGGCCUGGUGGUUAUGGACCAGGUGGAGCCGGACAGGGUGCAGUGAAGCCAAACAAAUCAGGUUAUGGCUCCUCCUCCUCGGGUGGAGCUCUCUUUGGACCAGGUGGUGGAGCAGGUGGGGUACCUGGUGCUGGAGCUACCGGGCGAAGAGGAGGAGUACCAGGAGGCUACGGAGUAGGAGAAGCGGGACAGUCAGGGCAGAAAUCAAAGGCACAGAAGGCAGCCAAAUACACAGCCAUGCAAGGCUUCCUGGGAGCACGCAGCUACAGAGGGGUCGCCGACUGCCAGGGUAUAUACUGCGGACGGAGGAGGAAGUGAGAGAGCAGCAAAAAGAAGUGACCUCAUCAACAACAUUGUGGUGCUACUGCAUGAUUCAAUAAUGUACUGAUUUUCAACUACUAAUAUGUCCCUUUUUUCUUUUAAAGUGUGAAUCUCGGGCAAUGGCAAAACCAGAGCCUGUUUGAUCUUUUAUUCUGAAACUGUGAUCAUGUGUUUAUUGUUCCUCACCUGUACUUUAGCCCCUCCUGUGUGUACCCCAUUUACCCAUUUAGCUCCACCACGAAUCAUGUUUGUUUAAAACACUGAUACUAAGGCGUCCCACAACGGAGUGCCUCUAGACCUGUCUGUAUGCUGACUAAACUGUCUGUUUUCUGAUUAAUGUGACUAACAUCCCUCUAUAAAGCUAUGCUAUUGACACACAGGCCCAGACUUACUCAACAUUUGCACCUGCACUUUUCAAUAUACCUAGUUUUUGUUCAAGUUGUUUAGUUGCAAACUUUUACAAUAUCUGGCCCAAGGCGUCUUGAGAUAUAUACACACACUGCUGCCAUAAAUGAAAAUCAUAGGAGAUAUCUUUAGAGUGGUAAUCUUACAACCACCAUUUUUGAUUUAGAACUGUGUCCACUCUGAACCCUCAAAAGGCAGUGUGUGUCCACAGCAACACUCAUGUUCUAACUCUGAUUCUAGUUUCAGCAGUUCUCAAAAAAAAGGAGCUUAUUGCCCUUAGUAAAGGUUUUAAGAUCUUAUAUGCAGUCGUGUAUAAUGUCUUUACAGAAUAUAUAUAGUAAGGUUUAACUAAGCCACUUGCCUGAAAUAUUAUCAACAUCUUUCUGAAUGGCUGUAUAACACUGAAUUGCUGUGAGUGUUUUGAAUACUUAAUCACACCGAUAUGACUGUGUUAGUACAGCCAUAGUUGAGAUGACUGAAAAUGCAAACGUAUAUUUUCUUUGUUUAAAAUCCUCAUCUUGGCUUUACUGAGAGCAACAGUACCUACAUGACAUUUGCAGUUGAUUAAAACUAAUAUUAUAAUCAUGCAAUCCAGAGAUUGGCCUGUUUUCAGACCUAUCACCGUAAAACAUAAUUCUGUUAACUCAAAUUAUUUGAAAAACUGAUUGCCUUGACUCAUUAAAUUAAAGCAACACAUUUUUUUGUAAGUUACCAGUACUCAGUUCAUUUUGUUUUAGUGACUUAGAAGAUUAUGUUACACAGUGAACUGUAGAGAGCAUAUAACUGCAGACUGUUGACAAAAGCCCAACGUUUUUACGCGCGUUAAUUCACCCAGGAAAUAGAAUGCAUGGGAGAGAAUGAGAGACAACAGAUGGGCCUCAACGGUGUCAUUACACAUCAGUUUAGAAAGCAAGUCUAUUUCUCUCCACAUCUACAAGAAGCAAUGCUGGUAAAAUGAGCAAAUAAAUUGCCAGAAAAUAGACUGUUUGCAUCGUUAUGUCUGGAAAUGUGAAAUGUAUAGUUAAACUGAUCAACACUGAAUAGACACUUUUUAACUGCCAAUACAUAUAUGAAAACAAAUGCAUAGAAUUUCGAUCACAGGCAUAUAGCCUAGGCCAGGGGUCUCCAAAGUUUUUUCUAGCCUGAGUUACUUUAAGAAAAAUGUAACAUGUCGCUUCUCUUCUCCCAUUCAACUCUUCCUCAGGUCCUUAGUGUAUAAGAGAAAGUAGUGCACUGUUUUCUGUCAAUAUACCUGGUAAAAUAAGGAUUAAUAAACAACUCUAAGGGGAGACCUAUAAAGUCAGAUUUGUUUUCUCCAAAAUUAUGUUUUCAAUUUCCCAAAAUACGUUUUCUCUGUUUUAUAUUUUCUGGUUUAAGAUGUUGAUUUUACUCUUAAAAUUACAAUUGUUCAUAGAGAAGUUUGUUCUGAGGACAUGUCAAUGGUUAAAUCACAUCAGGAUACCCUUUUUUUUGGGGGGGACAAAUAGAUUUCCCCUUUAUUGUGCAUCUAGCGAGUAAGGAAUGUGCCGUCUAAUGUGCCAGUCUGGCGAUGGUUCUGUACUGCUGCUGCUGCUCAUUUAAUGGCAAAGUUAGUAAAUAACAAAUAGAUACAAAUGAUAUAUUUACUUAUAUCAUUUAUAUAUAAACUUCUGCCUGGUAAGCCUACUGCCACAAGACGGUUAUCGCAUCACCUGGCUACACACGGAGUGAUUGACAAACGCGCCACACCAUAUACAGUAGACAGACGCGCAAUACUACCGGAAAUGAAUUGGCAGAUAUUGUGAAGGUUUAAUUCUCUAUGCCAAUAGUGGCUAACAAGGGGUGGGAUAAUGUCAAUGUUGAGUUGUUUAGAUAGGUGGUAGCUUGCAGUGUCGGAUAAUUGGGAGAUUUGUUUAUGACAGUUUGCGAUGGAACAGAGGAAAAAUUGCAUAUGCUUUCAGAAUUGUUUGGUGAGCUACUCAUAGGUGAGCUGCGAGCUACUGGUAGCUCAUGAUCGACCUGCUGGAGACCCCAGGCCUUGGCAGACUACGGCUGGGAAACUCGAGGAACUACGAUUUCAAGAGAGAAUACUAUUAUGUAGGAAGAACGAACUAGCUAAAUUCCUUAUAGACUGCUCGGGUUUAUUAGCUACAACUCUCCUCAUGUUCAUGAAUAACAAUUUUUUAGCCUGUGCAGGCAGGUACGGUGGCUCCCAUAGGACAUCUAAGAUGAGUCAAAAGGAACACACAAAAAUAGUUCCCAGGUGCUAUAUAGCGAACAUAACAAUUACAACUGUUUAUUAUGGAUUAUCAUGACGAUUACGUUGGCAUACGCUACGCAGUAUAUGUGAAUUGACGCUGGCCUCUCGCAAGCAAAUUUCACACCGUUGACAGGCAUCUCCGGGUGUAAUUUCGGUUUAACACCGAUGCAGUUCAAGUCUUUUCACUCUGAACUUAAACUAUUUGUUUACUUUAGCUUUUUAAAUUAUGAAGGAAAAAAAUGCUAAAACAUUUUCAACAAUGUCUACUCUUCUGAUUUAAAAAAAAAUAAGUGCUUUAUUUUUUUACAUUGUCUUUGAAUGCUCUCUAAUGCUAGUGUUACCUGAGGUGUCAUGUUACAUGUUUAAUGAAACGUUGUAAUCUUGAGUUAUCUAUGGGCUAUAGUGUUUAUAUCAUUAAGCCCAGACAGACAAAGAACAUCUGUGUUUUACCUUAGAAGAGAAUGAUUCACUUUUUUUUACACAGUACACAGUUUUUAAAUAAAGAAAUUACCUG